rnacentral:rRNA from 1 species
AGUGAACGCUGGCGGUAGGCCUAACACAUGCGAGUCGAACGGCAGCACAGUAAGAGCUUGCUCUUACGGGUGGCGAGUGGCGGACGGGUGAGGAAUACAUCGGAAUCUACUUUUUCGUGGGGGAUAACGUAGGGAAACUUACGCUAAUACCGCAUACAACCUACGGGUGAAAGCAGGGGAUCUUCGGACCUUGCGCGAUUGAAUGAGCCGAUGUCGGAUUAGCUAGUUGGCGGGGUAAAGGCCCACCAAGGCGACGAUCCGUAGCUGGUCUGAGAGGAUGAUCAGCCACACUGGAACUGAGACACGGUCCAGACUCCUACGGGAGGCAGCAGUGGGGAAUAUUGGACAAUGGGCGCAAGCCUGAUCCAGCCAUACCGCGUGGGUGAAGAAGGCCUUCGGGUUGUAAAGCCCUUUUGUUGGGAAAGAAAAGCAGCAGGUUAAUACCCCGCUGUUCUGACGGUACCCAAAGAAUAGGCACCGGCUAACUUCGUG